AGCGAACGCUGGCGGCAGGCCUAACACAUGCAAGUCGAACGGACCUUUCGGGGUUAGUGGCGGACGGGUGAGUAACACGUGGGAACGUGCCUUUAGGUUCGGAAUAGCUCCUGGAAACGGGUGGUAAUGCCGAAUGUGCCCUUAGGGGGAAAGAUUUAUCGCCUUUAGAGCGGCCCGCGUCUGAUUAGCUUGUUGGUUAGGUAAUGGCUCACCAAGGCUACGAUCAGUAGCUGGUCUGAGAGGAUGACCAGCCACAUUGGGACUGAGACACGGCCAAAACUCCUACGGGAGGCAGCAGUGGGAAAUCGUGCGCAAUGGGCGAAAGCCUGACGCAGCCAUGCCGCGUGGAUGAUGAAGGUCUUAGGAUUGUAAAAUCCUUUCACCGGUGAAGAUAAUGACUGUAGCCGGAGAAGAAGCCCCGGCUAACUUCGUGCCAGCAGCCGCGGUAA
rnacentral:rRNA from 1 species